UGAGACCUUGAGCAAAACAGAUAAGAACCGGGGCAAUGGAGGCAUAAACAUUAAGGCUAGGAGAUAUUUUGGGGGAGAAAGCGGGGGCUAGCAGGGAGAAAGCUCAACUUUAUGCACCGCGCCCAGGAACGCUUUGCCUUUAGCCACUAGCGGACCCGCCGGGCGGAGGGAGCUCUCCGGAAGUGAGCUCACGCAACCGUGAAGUCAGCUCACGCAACCGUGAAGUCAGAUUCCUCCGCCGAGGCGGCCCUCUCUCCGGGGGCUUUGCCUUCGCUCUCCAGCUUUUCUUCUUUCACUCCCGCGCGCCGACUCCAGCCCGCUGGGCUCACGCUCUGCCGGACACCAAUCCCGGCGCCCCUGCCCGACGGCGCUCAAGGAUAGGCCUGGCCUUGUCCGCGGAGUCCGCCCCUCGCCGCCACCGGGACCGGCCCCCGAGCCGACACGCACUUCCGGCAGCGCCGCGGCCGGCAGGGAGUGAGCGGGGAGCAAGGCCUGCGGUGAGGCGCGGGAUGGACGCGCUGGCUGUCAUGAUGUAGGAUCUCCUGACCCAGAACCAUGCCCGGCGCAGGGAGAACAACGAGCUUAUGGACCGGGUGCGGGGGCUGCUGUGCGAGAAAGCCUACCUGCUGGCCCGGGAGCGUUCGCCGGCCCACCUGGUGGCUUUCCCGAGACGUUUAACGGCGACUCCGCCCGGCCUCCCGACUUUUUGAUGCAGGGUUCUCUUACAUGACUUUCUUCCAGGCUAGAUUCUUGAAAGACAUCCUGAAGGUGGCUUUCUUAAUUAGCUGCCUCACUGGGUGGCGGAGCAGUGGGUAGUCCCCUACAUCGAGAGGGAGAGCCCCGUCCUGGCUCAGUACGUGGGCUUCGUGGACGCGCUGUAGCCGGGCCUUGGCCGUUGUGGGUAGGAAACAAUCGGGCCGGAUCCCCGGUGUCUGGGGAGCGGCUGCAGCCGGGGCCCGCGCGAGCCACUUCACUCCUACAAGCCCGGCUCACUAGUUCCAAGCUGCUGGACUUUGACCCUCGCUGGGAAGCCUGCUCGCCGCCUGUUCUCGCCAAUCUCUAUGCCUUUGCACUGCCCAGCAACCCGGCCACUGCCCAGGACCUGUUAAAAGUUGAAUGGACCUCCCAGAAUCACGCCCCUGCCACCGCCGUUUCUAGAGACGGCUUUUGGCCACCUUUGAGAAUCAGGGUCAAACUUGGAAGGGCCUGCAUUUGUCAUACCUCCUCGGACACUAAUUUGGAUAGUUCAGGCCCUGAGACAGCUUCCCGGAACCUUCUGGAUUUCAGCUUUGGCAAGCUUCCUCUGUUUCUGAGCCACCUCCAUCACCUGGGGUACAAUCCCAUCCAAGAUUUUCCCCAUCUCCAGGCAUUUUUCAUGGAAAGCUCCUCAUGCUUUUUAAUUCCAGGUUAUCAAUUUGUGUGGCUUUAA
rnacentral:lncRNA from 1 species